GACUGAUCAUUUCUUUGUCAUUGGGAAAACGUACAAAAUCAGCAGGGAUCAAAUACAUUUUUCACUUAACGUACAAUACACAUGAUUUACUGAGAAUGUCGUUGUCCAUGUAGGGAGAUGUAGCGCAGUGGAUCAUAUCGUCUCUGCUAUGUUUCGGAAUCCGUGUGAUCACCCAGUCACAUCGCCUAACUCCAGUCACAGCGCCUUACACAAACUACAUCUCCCCAACAAGGCAGCCUUCCCGCUGCUGUGUAUUGUGUUUAUGGGAUAACAGAGGUAUCUAUUAUCCCCUACGCCUUGACCAAAACGACUGAUUGCCCGCUUAACACCCUAGUCCGUAAACCACUAAUGGUGACAGUGUUGUUUGAGAGCAGCUAUUAAAGUCGCUGCGGCAAAUGAGGUGGUGGCUGGCCGAACCGUGCCUCGCUGUUUGUCUCCGGAGUGAUGACAGAUACAAACCAGACCAAGCGGAGGCCAUGUACCAGAUCGGGUUUUGGUUACUGAUGUUAGAGUGAUUGUGUUGCAAGUGUGGUCACUACGCGUCUGAACGUGCUCAAGCCCCGAAGCUCGGCGGUUGUGGGCAACGCCACGGGACUGCAUUCACUUUAAUUCGAGGACAAUGGAGGGCAUGGGGAACGUGUUUUUCCAGCGCUAAUCCAAUUUAUUCAAAAUAAGCGCGCAAUUACACAAUGAGAUGCACUUACAUAUUCAGGCAUGAAACACAAUGGGCACAUUACCAUUCGGUAUGUUAAUAGACAUACGGAUUGUACCUUCCAAAAUUUAACAAUCGAAUGCAUAUAUCCUGAAAGACAAAGGAUUGGAUCCUAGGAGGGGAGUUAUAAGGCGGCUCAGAAGCAGAGCUCAAGGCCAUUUCGAGAGGGAACUUGAUGAGGCUGGACGCUCGACUCGUCGCUCUGCUGAUCGCCCUUCUAACGCGAGACAACGCAGCCUGGUGAACACAAUUGCUGUGUCGACAGUUAGGCGACUUUGCUUCGUAUGGUGAGUGAAUAUGCGAGUUCGUGGGGACAUCUUCAGACGGGUUACAGACAUCGAUUCACCGUGAAUCUCCAAUUUACGAGCCCCAGAGGCUCGGCGUGCCUCAAGGAUCCGCCACGUGAGAGGGAGCGGUGCCUGGAGCCCGCUCAUAUUCUUCACAAGAAGCCAGGGACCCGCCUAACCCUUCAAGGUUGUGGUGCGAACCCUUGACGCCCGGAAGGGCACAAGAUUCCAUCAUGGGCGAGGCACCGGCGGCGAGAAGCCGGUCAAAAUGCGCAAAGUUGCGAUUGUAGGAUCCACACCCAACACACGGACAAUAGAAGGGUCCCCUUGGACAACGUGGAAGCGUAUUAGGAUUUGUGUGUGGUUGUUGUUGUUUUGUUGGUUUAUUGUUGUUGUUGUUGUCGGGUGAGUAGGGUCACACGGCUUACCCCUUACAGAUGAACGUUAAGAUUGUGAUUGUAGCGGCGUCGGAAAAAAUUUGCUGCAGCUGCUGCCCUGACGCACGUGGCUUCUAAAAAUUGUUGUUAGCCGAGACGGCUCAUUUUGUUUUAAGAUGGUUGUUGUGAAGACAGUGCCUCAACGAAGGGACAAGCGGUGACAACAGGAGAGAGAGAGUUCAAGAAGAGAAGGCUGGACCAAGGGUGGAGGGAGGUUGACGCCGAGAGAGAGUUGAAGGAACGAGGUUCAGGGCUGUGUUAGUGGGGAUUCGGGUCACGGCUGGUUGCCGUUAAGGCGUCGUCGUUGCUAUAUCGUGACGCCGGGGUCCUAAGCCGCGUUAAAGGCAAAAUAAAAGAACCCUCUACAGUCUGAGUCCGGAGUCAUUACAAUUGCAACUAUUAAUAAUCUCACGGACUUGGGUUUGUGCGUUUAUUUAAACAUUUAUAUAUACACGGAUAUUGUAUAGUGCUAUUCGAUGUCAUUCAGAUGGAACAUUCAUCUAGCUGAUGAUGAUUGCUUGUGUUGCAGUCGAAACGUCGUGAGAAUUUUAUUGCUUUAUAUUUUUAUUAUUUU